UGGGGCCGCCCUGUCAGUGUCUGGAUGAGAGAGGGGAAGGGGCGGGUUCAGCGCCCGUGUGGGCCAGCCUGCGGGCCGUUUAGCCGGGCCCCUUCCGGUUUCAAACUUUUGUUUUUCUUUUUCUUUUUGAAUUAAAAGUGCUUUAUGUUUGAAUUUGUGUGAAAAAUUGUGCACUGAUCCAAAAAUCAUGAAAAUUUUUGUAUAGACUCCAUGAAAUAAGUAGAACACAGGAAAAAUGUUAAGUUUUAUUUUCUGGUAGUUUGCAUGUGUAUAAAAAUUGCCUCUUUUAAUUAGU
rnacentral:lncRNA from 1 species